GAUGAACGCUGGCGGCGUGCUUAACACAUGCAAGUCGAACGGUGAAGCCAAGCUUGCUUGGUGGAUCAGUGGCGAACGGGUGAGUAACACGUGAGCAAUCUGCCCUUGACUCUGGGAUAAGCGCUGGAAACGGCGUCUAAUACUGGAUAUGAGCUGUGGCCGCAUGGGUGGCAGUUGGAAAGAAUUUCGGUCAAGGAUGAGCUCGCGGCCUAUCAGCUUGUUGGUGAGGUAAUGGCUCACCAAGGCGUCGACGGGUAGCCGGCCUGAGAGGGUGACCGGCCACACUGGGACUGAGACACGGCCCAGACUCCUACGGGAGGCAGCAGUGGGGAAUAUUGCACAAUGGGCGCAAGCCUGAUGCAGCAACGCCGCGUGAGGGACGACGGCCUUCGGGUUGUAAACCUCUUUUAGCAGGGAAGAAGCGAAAGUGACGGUACCUGCAGAAAAAGCACCGGCUAACUACGUGCCAGCAGCCGCCGUAA
rnacentral:rRNA from 1 species